GUACAUGGAAAGCAUCCUGAACCCCUCCCUCCAAAAGGAGCGUGUAAUCUGCAAGUGCACCGAGAAGGGCUUUGGUGACUGGAGAGGUCAUAGCACGAGUCCCUGGAACACAGAGAUCACAGAUCGUGCGAGGACUGAACCCACUGUUACCAUGGGGUUCCUGGCACAGCAAGGCUGGAGCCUAUGCGGAGAGAAGACAUCCGAGUAUAAGAAAACAAUCUGAAGGAAAUAUUUUAAUUCUCCACAAGACCUCUCAGUGAAGAGCCCUGAGUGUGGCUGACACGUGCACAAAGGUGGAAGAAGUUAAAGGGCACUGGAAAGAAGAUCAGAGGAGAUUGGUAUUUCUUGGCAGACAGCCUGGGGGUUGGAGAGUAGAGGAGUUGCUUGUGAUUCCCUUGUUAUCCUUCGAGAAUUUCAAAGGAAGUGGCAAUUUAAAAAAUGAGAAGUUGAGAAAAAGGAAAGAAGAAGAUGCAGUGAAGUGGCUGCACAACAGUGUAACUGGGGAUGAGGUGCAAAAAGGUAUCGGAGGUAAGAAGGUGGGAAAGGAGGAGGUGGCGAGUACAGCAGUGUAAGGAUGGGCAGGGUCUUGCUCUGUUCGUAGCUCAAAUGCCGUGAAACAUUAUUCACACUUUUGCCUUACUGUAUUGCACUU